ACAUAAGCAACAUAAAUACAGUCGCAUGCAAUAAUAACAAGCAGUAACUACCAUACUAACAACCAUAUGGGGACAUAAGCUAAAACACUAAUCACCUAUGGGUAACCCUACUAUCCCACACCCAACAACAUCCCGCGCCUUUUUCCCAUCAGCAUCCCGCGCCUUUUUCCCUUUUCACCUAGUCUCCUGGACGCACGCUAUGUUAACCCUUUUCUGCUGAAGAACCUUCGCCAACCACACCAACCGAUAUGGGGUACAGUGGCACACACACGCACUAUAUCGAAAAACGCAAAUGUAGCAAACUAGAUAACAACAGAAUAGACCACACUCGGAAUGCUAGCUAAAAUACGUAAAAAGGUGCACAAAGUAAACAAGUGAGCGGGAGGUACCAACUCCCGGUGGAAAAACCUGAAAAUGUGCUUUGAUGCGCCCAAGUUUUCCUGAAGCUUAGCAGAAUGUGCAGCUCUAUUGCGUCCUGCCGCGAGUCUGAACGAGAGUUGCCGGAGAUCCUCNNNNNNNNNNNNNNNNNNNNNNNNNNNNNNNNNNNNNNNNNNNNAACGCAAAUGUAGCAAACUAGAUAACAACAGAAUAGACCACACUCGGAAUGCUAGCUAAAAUACGUAAAAAGGUGCACAAAAUAAACAAGAGAGCGGGAUGUACCAACUCCCGGUGGAAAAACCUGGAAAUGUGCUUUGCUGCGCCCGAGUUUUCCUGAAUCUUAGCAAAAUGCGCGGCUCUAUUGCGUCCUGCCGCGAGUCUGAACGAGAGUUUGAAUGAUAGCUGUCGGAGAUCCUCGCCGGUGAAAUAUGUACCUGUCCAAGAAAACAAAAUACACCCACAAAAGCAGAGGAGAGAAUAAAAAGGAAAAGUGCAAGGGUUUCAAGAAAAAUUUCCGGCGAAAAC
rnacentral:lncRNA from 1 species